rnacentral:misc_RNA from 1 species
UUAAGUUCAGCGGGUAGUCCUACCUGAUUUGAGGUCAAAUUGUCAAAAAUUGUCCAUUAGGUAGACAGUUAGAAGCAGAAUGCUUAUACUAAGUGUAGCUGUCAAUGGUAUAGAUAAUUAUCACACCAAUAGACAGGUUACAAAAGCUUCCCGGCUAAUAGAUUUGAGGAGAGCUGACCAAGAAAAGGCCAACAACGCUC